rnacentral:tRNA from 1 species
GGGCGAUUAGCUCAGUUGGUCAGAGCGUCUCUCUUACACAGAGAAGGUCGAAGGUUCGAGCCCUUCAUCGCCCA